rnacentral:lncRNA from 1 species
ACUGUCAUAAUUUGAGGACUAAUUUGAUGGAUUUUGUUAUAAUUUAAGGGUUGAUAUGAUUGAUUUUAUUUGCAGAGAAUGAGUACAAGGAGAUAUGGCAUGAGAGGACCAGUGAUUUCAAAUCUAACUGAGGGGUCCUGCUCCACAAAAUCCAACUGCUGCUGGAGUUAUUAGAGUUCAAAAUCCAAAUUACGGGCCAUCCGCUUCUACUCAAGCCCAAUACGUGGAGUUUAUCCCAACUCCAGAAUUUCCAAAGCAUUGAUGCAUGUUUAAAUUAUGUUUUUGGACUAGUUUAAUUAAUGUUUUUUGGACUUAUUUAGUUUAUGUUUUUUU